ACUCCUACGGGAGGCAGCAGUGGGGAAUUUUGGACAAUGGGCGAAAGCCUGAUCCAGCAACGCCGCGUGCAGGAUGAAGGCCUUCGGGUUGUAAACUGCUUUUAUACGGAACGAAAAAGCUUCUCCUAAUGCGAGAGGCCCAUGACGGUACCGUAAGAAUAAGCACCGGCUAACUACGUGCCAGCAGCCGCGGUAAU
rnacentral:rRNA from 1 species